UACAGAGGGUGCGAGCGUUAAUCGGAAUUACUGGGCGUAAAAGCGCGCGUAGGCGGCUUUGCAAGUCGGGUGUGAAAAUCCCCCAGGCUCAACCUGGGAACUGCAUUCGAGACUGCAUUGCUAGAGUAUGGGAGAGGGAAGUGGAAUUUCCGGUGUAGCGGUGAAAAUGCGUAGAUAUCGGAAGGAACAUCAGUGGCGAAAGCGACUUCCUGGACCAAUACUGACGCUCAUGUGCGAAAGCGUGGGGGAGCAAACAGG
rnacentral:rRNA from 1 species